UACGGAGGGUGCGAGCGUUGUCCGGAAUCACUGGGCGUAAAGGGCGCGUAGGCGGCGCGGGUAGUCAACGGUGAAAGCUUGGGGCUCAACCCCAAGUCGGCCGUCGAUACUCCCGUGCUUGAGCACUGUAGAGGCAGGUGGAAUUCCGGGUGUAGCGGUGGAAUGCGUAGAUAUCGGGAGGAACACCAGUGGCGAAGGCGACUUCCUGGCCUGUUCUUGACGCUGAGGCGCGAAAGCUAAGGGGAGCAAACGGGGAUUAAGAAACCCGUUG
rnacentral:rRNA from 1 species